rnacentral:sRNA from 2 species
ACCGGAAACCGACCAGAACCCUGGGCAGGGGCGGGGGAACCAGGUCUUGCGCCGUCUCCCACGGCUUGGGGUGAAGCCGCCUCCGUGCGGCCGGGCCACCUCCCGGUCCGAACCCGACAGCUCACCUCGCAGGCGUGCGGAGAGGGACU